rnacentral:rRNA from 1 species
CACAAGCGGUGGAUGAUGUGGUUUAAUUCGAUGCAACGCGAAAACCUUACCCACCUUUGACAUGUACGGAACCCUUUAGAGAUAGAGGGGUGCUCGAAAGAGAGCCGUAACACAGGUGCUGCAUGGCUGUCGUCAGCUCGUGUCGUGAGAUGUUGGGUUAAGUCCCGCAACGAGCGCAACCCUUGCCAUUAGUUGCUACGAAAGGGCACUCUAAUGGGACUGCCGGUGACAAACCGGAGGAAGUGGGGAUGACGUCAAGUCCUCAUGGCCCUUAUAGGUGGGGCUACACACGUCAUACAAUGGCCGGUACAGAGGGUAGCCAACCCGCGAGGGGGAGCCAAUCCCACAAAGCCGGUCGUAGUCCGGAUCGCAGUCUGCAACUCGACUGCGUGAAGUCGGAAUCGCUAGUAAUCGCGGAUCAGCAUGUCGCGGUGAAUACGUUCCCGGGUCUU